AUCACGAUCGUGUUCUCGUAAUGAUGGUCCUGUCUGUUGUGUUCUUUGCUGGUUGCCUUUGGAGGCCGUGGCACCGACAACGGUGGCGGAACCGGUGGUAGAGACGGCGGUUGCGUUGUGCUUAAAUGGUUUGGUUGUGAUCGACGAACGUGACCUCUGACAAUUGUAAACGGCGCGGGGGGUAUCGGUGGCAUUGGAGACGGUGAAGAGGCACGAUGUAACAUAUCGUAACCUGCCUCGGAGUUUACUGAAUUGAAUGCCGUGUUGGCUGUCGACGAAGGCGGUGGUGGAGCAUUCUCUUUUGGAACAGUUAAGUGACGACCAUUUCUUGAGUGACUGUUUGGCGUAGGAGAUGGAGAAGGUCGUCGAGGAGGUAGCGGUGGACUUGGCACAAUUCUCCGUAUCGAAACUGGCGAAUUUGUUGGACUGGAGUCUUCUUCUUCAUCCGAGUCGUAACACAUAAGCCCACAGUGUCCAUUACAUAAAUCCAUAAUUUCCUAAAACGAAAAUAAAAGAGAAGCAUGAAUUAAUACCUGUGGCAUCGAUUAACAGCAACAAAAUUGUUUUAACUUGAUAAUAUUCAUUGUCCAGCGCAAGAAGAUGCAUACUAAUUUGUGUAAAAAUUAUUUUCUGCUCUAAUUCUGAUUUUAGAUAAUGAUAAAUUUGUUAAUGAAUAAUCAAAUUCUGUAGUUUAAAAUCUUUUUAAAAUUUUGUCGAAUAAAGGAAUUGUAUAAAUUAAUAUAAGUAAAAAGAAUGUAGCAAAAAAAAAAAAACCCUGUAUGCAGAAGAACAUCACAAUUGAGAACGAGCAUAAUUACAAAGCUGUAAAGCAGGGGAUCAUAAUGCAUUUGUUCACUUACCUGCGUUAAACGAGUCAAAAUACAUUUCCUUCAGUUAUGUACAUUAUCGAUUAGUUUUCCGAUCAUGCAGCGGGCAGAGCAAUGGACCCAGUAGAUAACAUUAUGAAAUAAAGAUAAACGAUCAUGCGAACGAUAUAACGAUAUAACACUUUUGUUCACUUUCAGUAGUUCCCUGUUGCUGGAACACUGAUUCAAUAGGCGUAAAAAUUAGAAUCCAGCAAAAGGGAUGCAUGUAUAAAAUAUGCAAAAGUAAUUCAAUGUAAUGAUAAUACAAUUUUAUUAAAAAAAAAAAGAAAAAAAAAGAAAACAAAAGGAAAACAAUAUGUUUUUCAGAUCUCUACUCUUAUAAUGAAUAGGAAGAAACGUACGCUACAAUUUGUAAUGUUUAUGAAUUAUUUAUUUUAGACCUCUUUCAUUGCUGGAUGUACACAGCAUGAAUGGAUCUAAAUGACUGAUCAAUUAGCAGCACUAGUUAUUGUACAAAAUUACGCUAAUGGGUACACGUAAACGCAGUAGAAAAAUCUAUCUUUUAAUUUUUCAACUUUUCAGUGCAACAUAUAGUAGAUCUUUGUCUACUAUUCAUAAAUUCGUACACAUAAGGAUACUAUAUGCUUAAAAAAUUAUUACUUCUCUUUCUUAGACCAUUAACUACGAAUUCACAUCUUAAAAAAAUAGUUUUGUUUUCAAAGAUGAAUUCGACCUUUUAAUUGCUCUUACAUGCAUCAAUGCAUACAGGAUUUAUAGCAUUAAGGUAUUGAAAAAAAAAACAGAAGAGAAGAUAACAACGUAUAUACCACAGCAUCAAAAUUCGACAUGAAGUGCUACCAUACAAUCACUAGUAUAACAUAACUCCUUAAAGUUCGUUUUAUGCGUGAAU